rnacentral:rRNA from 1 species
GACGAACGCUGGCGGCGUGCCUAAUACAUGCAAGUCGAGCGAGUCUGCCUUGAAGAUCGGAGUGCUUGCACUCUGUGAAACAAGAUACAGGCUAGCGGCGGACGGGUGAGUAACACGUGGGUAACCUGCCCAAGAGAUCGGGAUAACACCUGGAAACAGAUGCUAAUACCGGAUAACAACAGAUGAUGCCUAUCAACUGUUUAAAAGAUGGUUCUGCUAUCACUCUUGGAUGGACCUGCGGUGCAUUAGCUAGUUGGUAGGGUAACGGCCUACCAAGGCGAGGAGGCAAAGCCGGGUGAGGGAACGGAUCGGCCAAUUUGGGAUUGAGAAACGGCCCAAACCCCUACGGAGGGCAGAAGUGGGGAAUUUUCAAAAAGGGACGCAAGUUUGAGGGAGCAACGCCGGGUGGGGGAAGAAGGGUUUCGGCUGGUAAAGCCUUGUUGUGGGGGAAAAAGGACAGGGGUAGUAACUGACCUUUGUUUGAGGGUAAUAAAGUAAAAAGUCCCGGCUAACUACGU